rnacentral:rRNA from 1 species
UACGGGGGGAGCAAGCGUUGUUCGGAUUUACUGGGCGUAAAGGGCGCGUAGGCGGUCGUGACAAGUCACUUGUGAAAUCUCCGGGCUUAACUCGGAACGGUCAAGUGAUACUGUCGGACUAGAGUACAGAAGGGGCAACUGGAAUUCUCGGUGUAGCGGUGAAAUGCGUAGAUAUGGGGAGGAACACCGGUGGCGAAGGCGGCCAUCUGGACGGAUACUGACGCUGAGACGCGAAAGCGUGGGUAGCAAACAGG